GUGGGGAAUUUUGCGCAAUGGGGGAAACCCUGACGCAGCAACGCCGCGUGCGGGAAGACGGCCCUCGGGUUGUAAACCGCUUUCAGCAGGGAAGAAAUUCGACGGUACCUGCAGAAGAAGCCCCGGCUAACUACGUGCCAGCAGCCGCGGUAACACGUAGGGGGCGAGCGUUAUCCGGAUUCAUUGGGCGUAAAGCGCGCGCAGGCGGCGGGUCAAGCGGGGCCUCUAAGGCCGGGGCUCAACCCCGGUUCGGGCCCCGAACUGGCCCGCUCGGGUGCGGUAGGGGCAGGUGGAAUUCCCGGUGUAGCGGUGGAAUGCGCAGAUAUCGGGAGGAACACCGAUGGCGAAGGCAGCCUGCUGGGCCGUCACCGACGCUGAGGCGCGAGAGCCGGGGGAGCGAACAGGAUUAGAAACCCGUGUAGUCC
rnacentral:rRNA from 1 species